CAAAUAUACAGCAGACAAUAAAUACAUUAUUAGUGGAGCCACUGAUUCUGACAACGAAGACUACCAGUGCUCAGGCAGAAGAGGACCCCCUAAUCCUACCUUCACGCCUUGGAGUGAACCCUUCAAAUUGACUGUAACACCAAGAACACCAAAGGCUGAACUGACAGCUGACAGGACAUCAAUUCCAGCAGGGGGCGCUGUGACCCUGACCUGUGAUGUGAACCCUCCAUCAUCUGGCUGGACGUACAUCUUGUACAGAGGAGAUCACUCGGGCACACAAGAUGAUGGUAAAAACUUCAAUGGAUGAAUCAGUGUCUCCCAGGGAGGAGUCUACUGGUGCAGAGGAGAGAGAGGAGAACCAGUUUACUACACUCAUUACAGUGAUUCAGUCACUAUCAACAUCAUUUUAUCAAACAGAGCUGUUGCGACACUUCAGCCCCAUUGGACUGAGAUAUACAGCGGAGAGAAGAUCACUUUUAGAUGUGAAAUCGAGGGUGGAGACGACUCUGAGUGGGAGUACGAGUGGGAAACAACCAGCUCUGAAAGAUCUGUGAAAAAAAACAGUAAAUCAUUUGAAUUCACUGCUAAUGUUUACAGUCGAGGAGAAUACAGUUGUAAGGGCAGAAAAAAAAAGUGAUCAGUCUCCAACAGGUUGGAGCGAUCCCAUCACAUUAACGUUUUUA